GGAGGGAUCAUUAACACACAAUGUAAAAAUUGUCCAUUUAGACGAGAUGUGAAACUUUACUCUUUUGUAAAGUUGAUCAUCUUGUCUAAACAACGUGAAUUGUUCAAGUCUUGUAACUUUGCAAGCAAUUAUUUGAUUGCUUUGCAUAAGUGACAAGUAAAAAACACUAUUUUGAAAGAAAGAGACGAAUUUUUUUGAGCGAGAGAAUGAAAGUUAUGACUCGUGUUUACUCACUUGUUGUUACUUCCUUUCUCAAGCAAGAAAAGAAAGAAUUUAAUCUAAAAGAGAACUUUUAACAACGGAUAUCUUGGUUCUCGCAACGAUGACGAGCGCAGCGAAAAUGCGAUACUUAAUGUGAAUUGCAGAAUUCAGUGAAUCAUCGAGACCUUGAACGCAUAUUGCACCUGCAGUCAUCUGCAGGUACACCUGUUUGAGUGUUUUCAAAAAACAAGCCAAAAUUGGCGAUUUGGGUGUUUUAUUCCAGAGUGUAAAAGCACUGGUCACCUGAAAUAUAGAUAAAAAGGAUUUAUUGAACAAAAGAGCUUUUUUCUUCAUUGAUUCCAAAACGAAGAUGUGGGGUUAUUUAAAAUACUCUGUAUUUAUUCGUUAGUAAGAUCAAUGUAUUUUACAGGAAAUAGACUAUUUUGUUUGAAUUUUCCUUUAUUUUGGAUGAUUUGCAACUUAUUUGUUGUAAAUACAACUAAUUACCCUCUCUAUUCGAGAGUUAUACCUCAAAUCAGGCGAGAAUACCCGCUGAACUUAAGCAUAUUAAUAAGCGGAGGAGAAGAAACUAACAAGGAUUCCCCCAGUAACUGCGAGUGAAGUGGGAGAAGCUCAAGCUUAAAAUCAGAGACAGUCUAUGUCUCCGAAUUGUAGUUUUUGUGAACAGCCUCACUGACAGGUUACCUUGAUAUAAGUCCUCUGGAACGAGGUGCCAAAGAAGGUGAUAGCCCUGUGCAUAAUCAAGGUGUUUAGAUUUGUCGAUUGUGUUGCUGAUUCUUAGAGUCGGGUUGUUUGGGAGUACAGCCCAAAGUGGGAGGUAAAUUCCUUCUAAAGCUAAAUAAUGGCGAGAGACCGAUAGCGAACAAGUACCGUGAGGGAAAGAUGCAAAGAACUUUGAAAAGAGAGUUAAAAGUGCUUGAAAUUGUUAAAAGUGAAGCGAUUGGGUGCAGUACAUACUUUCAAUCAACUCAUUCAUUUUUGUAGUGUUGGAGCAGUUUCUGUGAGUGUCCUUUGUGGCAUCACGUUGUUGUUUCCUGGCAUUGCAUGAGUGGAGCAUUUUGGUUGUAAGUGAGUCAGCAUCAGUGAAUCGAGUGGGAGAAUACCUUGGAGAAGGUGACAUGCUAUUAGUUUCGGCUGAUGUGUGUGUGUUAAACUCUGAGCGAAUACCAUUUAAUUCACUGAGGCAACGAAUGUUUGGCAACUGACGCCUCUUUUGGCGGGGUAAGAGAGGGACUGGUGUGUUUCAGCGGUGGGGACAGCUUGCUGUGCCUGUUGACUGAAGUGUGCCAUUGCCUUCUCUCCACCAGUCAGUUAGCGAUGCUGACCGAAUGCAUUCAAUCGUCCCGUCUUGAAACACGGACCAAGGAGUCUAACAUAUCUGCGAGCAGUCGAGUGACAAACUUGCAUGCAUAAUGAAAGUAAUGAAGGUGGGAAUUUCUUUUAAAGAGGAAAUGCACCAUCGACCAAUCUUGAAAUUUUUGGAUAGAUUUGAGUUGGAGCAAAUAUGUUGGGACCCGAAAGAUUGCGAACUAUGCUUGCAUAGGGUGAAGCCAGGCGAAAGUCUGGUGGAGGCUCGUAGCGAUACUGACGUGCAAAUCGUUCGUCAAUGUGGGUAUAGCGGCGAAAGACUAAUCGAGCAAUCUAGUAGCUGGUUCCUC
rnacentral:misc_RNA from 1 species